AAAUUGCUAUUGGAAGCCAUGAGGAACUCCGCCAAUCAGGGACGCUCAAGGCGGCCUUGGCGGAGUUCAUCUGUACCUUGAUCUUCGUGUUCGCAGGUCAGGGUUCUGGUAUGGCUUUCACCAAGCUAUCAGCUGACGGUGUCGCUACUCCCGCCGGCCUAAUCUCUGCCUCAAUAGCCCAUGCCUUCGGGCUGUUCGUGGCCGUCUCCGUCGGUGCUAACAUCUCCGGCGGCCACGUUAAUCCCGCCGUUACCUUCGGUGCUUUCGUUGGUGGAAACAUCACUUUGUUCCGUGGGAUUCUCUACAUUAUUGCACAAUUGCUUGGAUCUACUGUUGCUUGCUUCCUCCUUGAAUUUGCCACUGGUGGCAUGGUGAGCAUGUGCACAUAAUUAAUUUGUAGACUAAUUAGCUGCAUAAUUAGCCUGUAUUUUAUUUUAUCAUGCUAUAGCCUUUAUGACUUGAUGUUAACUGUUCUAACUUCCCUAUCCUAGCGCUUUAGUAAGCAUCUUAAUAUUUGACUUUUCUACGUUUAGCUUUUUUCUAUAAAAAAAACAAAGGAAAAAAGGGAGAAAACAAAAGAAAUAAUAUAAGUGAACUCUUAGUUUUAUACCCAACUCUUUUUUUUAAAUUUUUAGCUAUAAAGGCAGAGUAUAGUCAUUUACCUUUUGAAGGUUGAUCUGAGAUGCAUAAAUAAUUAUUUAUUCAAUUUCUUCUCUUGAGUGGAUAAUGAAUGUAUGGUGGCCGUAUGAGAGAGAAAUCACGAGCUUUUGCAACUCUCCUGAAAGUAACGUACAGGUUUUCUUUUCUGAUAAGUAGUAAAGGGAAAAUAGUAGGGACUUUUUUGUUUUCAGCCAUGUGAGGAAAUGUUAUGCCCUUUUUGAAAAUUAUCCUGAAUUACUAUAUGGAGUACUUCUUUUUUACCAUGAAAUAUAUGGAAAUUUUGCCUAGUUUCUAAACCAAAAACAGCAAAAUAUAUACUGCUAGGUAUGUGGUCUGCAGACUCUAUAAUAGACAGUACUAGGAGAUUUUUUUCUUCUUUUUAUUACAACUAUUACCACAAGGUUCAUCAGCAAUUAAAUAUCAAAUCAAAUAUCACUCCUACUUAAUUUGACUCAUGAAAUCAAAGACGGCGAGUGAAAGUAGAAUAUAUGCUCUAAGUUCAUUUUCGUUUUGUACAUUAAACAAUAUCUUAUACCUUAAAAAUUAUCGUUUAUUAUUAUAGAUAAAAAUUGAACUAUUGCCUGGUGUCAGUAUCAUUAUUGUUGAGAAGGUUCCUGUUAUUGUUUGUUGUGUGAUAUCUCUGAUUAGAGUGUAAAAAAUGCUUAUUUAGCACAACAAUAGUGCCAUCAAGGGUUUUCACAUAUUUUAACAACAACAACAAUCCAGUAUAAUUCCAUAUAGUAGGGUCUGGGAAGAGUAGUUUGUACGCAGACCUUACCUCUACCCUGGGAUAGAGAGGCUCUUGGUUUUCACAUAUUUUAUAGAGCAUAAAUUUGGAACUCACGGAUUAGCUAGAAAUCUUUUUAUAUCUCAUUUGAAAGCGACUUAGUUUGUCCUUUCAUUAUGUGAGAUAGCGAUAUGAUGGUAACUAUAUCUAAAGCUAUAUAAUACACGUUUAUUCAAUAUUUAUAUAUGAGGGCCAAUUUAGUACCUAACAAUAUUCAUCCGUUAGGUGGCAUUAUCACUUUCCUCUUUCUAAUAGUGUUAUAGUGAAAGAAAGAAUAUUCCAAUCAUAUUCCUUGAUAUACACCGUCAGAGUUAAAAAAAACCUUACAUUCUUAUUAUAACAAAUUCUUUUUUCAUAAUAUCAGGUCAUGUUUAUAGACUAUUACUUGUUCUUAUAGGUAACUAAUUAUCCUAAAUAUAUGUAGAUUAUAAGUGUACAAAUUUUUAAUUUUCAUACUAAGAUGGAGUGAUAGUAACAAUUGUGAUGGUUAAAAAAAUAAUGCAGAGCACAGGAGCAUUUGCAGUGUCAGCUGGUGUAUCAGUAUGGAAUGCAUUUGUGUUUGAAAUAGUGAUGACUUUUGGACUUGUUUACACUGUGUAUGCCACUGCUGUUGACCCAAAGAAGGGUGACUUGGGAGUAAUUGCACCAAUUGCCAUUGGUUUUAUUGUUGGUGCCAACAUUUUAGCUGGUGGGGCCUUUACUGGAGCUUCAAUGAACCCUGCUGUCUCAUUUGGGCCAGCUUUGGUUAGCUGGACCUGGACCCACCAAUGGGUCUACUGGGCUGGACCCCUUG
rnacentral:lncRNA from 1 species